rnacentral:pre_miRNA from 1 species
GAAAUAUGAAGAGAAAGAGACAAGAGAGAGAAAUAUGAAGAGAAAGAGACAAGUUCAUAUUUCUCUCUCUUGUCUCUUUCUCUUCAUAUUUCUC